UACAGAGACUGCGAGCGUUAUUCGGAUUCACUGGGCGUAAAGGGUGCGUAGGCGGUCGGGUAAGUCUGAUGUGAAAUCUCACAGCUUAACUGUGAAACUGCAUUGGAUACUAUCCGGCUCGAGGAAUGGAGGGGAGACUGGAAUACUUGGUGUAGCAGUGAAAUGCGUAGAUAUCAAGUGGAACACCAGUGGCGAAGGCGAGUCUCUGGACAUUUCCUGACGCUGAGGCACGAAAGCCAGGGGAGCAAACGGG
rnacentral:rRNA from 1 species